GGCUCCAUAGUGUAGCGGUUAUCACGUCUGCCCUACACGCAGAAGGUCCUGGGUCCGAGUCCCAGAGGGACCG